rnacentral:rRNA from 1 species
GGGGAAUAUUGCACAAUGGGCGAAAGCCUGAUGCAGCAACGCCGCGUGAGUGAUGAAGGUCUUCGGAUUGUAAAGCUCUGUCUUUUGGGACGAUAAUGACGGUACCAAAGGAGGAAGCCACGGCUAACUACGUGCCAGCAGCCGCGGUAAUACGUAGGUGGCGAGCGUUGUCCGGAUUUACUGGGCGUAAAGGGUGCGUAGGCGGAUGUUUAAGUGAGAUGUGAAAUACCCGGGCUUAACUUGGGUGCUGCAUUUCAAACUGGAUAUCUAGAGUGCAGGAGAGGAGAAUGGAAUUCCUAGUGUAGCGGUGAAAUGCGUAGAGAUUAGGAAGAACACCAGUGGCGAAGGCGAUUCUCUGGACUGUAACUGACGCUGAGGCACGAAAGCGUGGAUAGCAAACAGGAUUAGAUACCCUGGUAGUCCACGCCGUAAACGAUGAGUACUAGGUGUAGGAGGUAUCGACCCCUUCUGUGCCGCAGUAAACACAUUAAGUACUCCGCCUGGGAAGUACGAUCGCAAGAUUAAAAC